UUUACAAUGGAGAGUUUGAUCCUGGCUCAGGAUGAACGCUAGCGGCAGGCUUAAUACAUGCAAGUCGAGGGGCAGCAGCUUUGUAGCAAU
rnacentral:rRNA from 1 species